rnacentral:tRNA from 1 species
GGCAGGUUGCCCGAGCGGCCAAUGGGAGCGGACUGUAAAUCCGUCGGCGGAAGCCUACACAGGUUCGAAUCCUGUACCUGCCACAA